CUUGUCAAGGGGAGUCCUAACCGUAUAUGUGUUGGGUUCGAAGACCAUUCCAUCCUUGUCAAGGG